rnacentral:rRNA from 1 species
CUACGUGCCAGCAGCCGCGGUAAUACGUAGGGCGCGAGCGUUGUCCGGAAUUAUUGGGCGUAAAGAGCUUGUAGGCGGUUUGUCGCGUCUGCUGUGAAAGGCCGGGGCUUAACCCCGUGUAUUGCAGUGGGUACGGGCAGACUAGAGUGCAGUAGGGGAGACUGGAAUUCCUGGUGUAGCGGUGGAAUGCGCAGAUAUCAGGAGGAACACCGAUGGCGAAGGCAGGUCUCUGGGCUGUAACUGACGCUGAGGCGCGAAAGCCAGGGGAGCGAACGGGAUUAGAUACCCCGGUAGUCCUGGCCGUAAACGAUGGGUACUAGGUGUAGGAGGUAUCGACCCCUUCUGUGCCGGAGUUAACGCAAUAAGUACCCCGCCUGGGGAGUACGACCGCAAGGUUGAAACUCAAAGGAAUUGACGGGGGCCCGCACAAGCGGUGGAGUAUGUGGUUUAAUUCGACGCAACGCGAAGAACCUUACCAGGUCUUGACAU